GGAUUUUUAGAUGGAUAGAUUGCUGUUUGUGUAGGCCUAGGCUGCAUUUGUACCUCUUUCCCCCCUCGGCUGCCUUUUUCACCUCUUGCUUUUCCCCCGGUGCCCCCUGUGUCCCCUGUCCCUGUGCUGGGUCCGAGCUGGCGGCCGGGCCGGGCGGAGCAGCACUUCCAGCCCCGGCUGUCCCUGGAGCGGUGGGAGCUGCUGCUGGCCCCAGGCACUGUCCCCUGAGGAGCUGCUGAAGGACGCUGCAAAGAAGACCUUGAGGACAGCCAGAGACUGACGGGAGGCAGCAGGGAGGAGCUGAAGGCCAGCAGCAAGAGCCGUGAACGGGGACCUGCUGCUGCCAGCCUGGAGAGAGCCCGGAUGUCCCAUCUGCUGUCGCUGUCCAGGAGAGCUGCUCUGCACGGGAGGAGGAGACCGAGGGAGAGGCUUUGAUGGUGGGGCAGCUGGGAUCCCUCUGCUUGGAGCUCUGUUUAAAG